rnacentral:rRNA from 1 species
AACGAACGCUGGCGGCAGGCUUAACACAUGCAAGUCGAACGCUGUAGCAAUACAGAGUGGCAGACGGGUGAGUAACGCGUGGGAACGUGCCUUUCGGUUCGGAAUAACUCAGGGAAACUUGAGCUAAUACCGGAUACGCCCUUCGGGGGAAAGAUUUAUUGCCGAAAGAUCGGCCCGCGUCCGAUUAGCUAGUUGGUGAGGUAACGGGUCACCAAGGCGACGAUCGGUAGCUGGUCUGAGAGGAUGAUCAGCCACACUGGGACUGAGACACGGCCCAGACUCCUACGGGAGGCAGCAGUGGGGAAUAUUGGACAAUGGGCGCAAGCCUGAUCCAGCCAUGCCGCGUGAGUGAUGAAGGCCCUAGGGUUGUAAAGCUCUUUCGCCAGGGACGAUAAUGACGGUACCUGGAUAAGAAGCCCCGGCUAACUUCGUGCCAGCCGCCGCCGUAACAC